GAAAGCGGUCGUGGCCAGGACUGGCGCAGCUGCCGUUUCAGGCGAGGGGCGCAGAAUGCAGCGGCCGCCAGCCUGGAGCGCGGGCCCUGGGGCCGCAACCCGCGCCGGGCGAGGUGGCAGCACACCCUGGGCCCCCCACUCCCCGCCGCAAGUCCUGAGGAUGGCCAGCAGAGAAACAAGAAAAUGGACUCCCUGGCUGCUGGAGAGUUGAAUGCCAGCCACCAGCCAUGGGUGCCAGAGUUUGUAGCCUAUUGGAGGAAAACACACCAAGAUCACCUCUGCAGCCUGCACAGCCGGGCCUUUGGACUCCUGGAUGCUAGAGUGACCUGGGCGCUGAGGAGGGCCCCCGAGCCAGUACCAGGAAAGGAUAGACUCCUGCUUGCAGCAUUCCCAGCAGAGGCAUCGCCUGUGGACACCGCGUCUGUGUCUGUAUAUGGCAGAGCUCCCAGAUAUAUGCACAAGGGAGUGAAAAAAUGUGUUUGCACCCCAGUCUCUAAAAAUUCAACAGCCUGGUUACUUCUGGGUGGUAUAUCGUAGGUGGCUUUAAUACGUGUUAUUUGCUCAUCUGUAUUUCUUACUCUUUGCACAAUUAAACCAUGUUCCUUUUACUUAUGUACAUUUUUAAUAAAAGAAAGUUGUUAAUGACUCA